AUUAGCUGGUAUUGCCAAAGCAUUGUUUCCCACGCAGCACUUUGGGUGGUUAACAGAGGAGCGUAGGAGUAGUUUCGAUCCGUCAGACUGUUUCAGCGUCCCAGAGAAGGAUGCCUGGGAGAGACGGACGAAAGGCUCUGGUUCCGCUCCAUGACAUCCACCCUGAAGAAUCUCAUCACUGAAGCUUGAGCUGCUGUAGGGCGGAAGGAGGAGGACUCCUUGGAGGACAUCUGAGAUCCUCACCACCUCGCAGCAACUGACGCUGACUUUUGACUUUUUUUCUGGUUCACAUUGAGGUCUAAAAAUAAAUGUUUCUUU
ensembl:lncRNA